CUUAACACAUGCAAGUUGAACGGCAGCAUGGUUUAAGAUUUUGUCUUAAAUUGAUGGCGAGUAGCGAACGGGUGAGUAUAACGCAGGAAUGUGUCUUAAAGUUUAGGAUAACCUAGGGAAACUUAGGCUAAUACUGAAUGUACUCUAUGGAGUAAAGCUGGGGACCUAAAUGGCCUGGCGCUUUAAGGGCAGCCUGUGUCUGAUUAGCUAGUUGGUAAGGUAAAAGCUUACCAAGGCAACGAUCAGUAGCUGGUCUUAGAGGACGGUCAGCCACACUGGGACUGAGACACGGCCCAGACUCCUACGGGAGGCAGCAGUGGGGAAUAUUGGACAAUGGGGGAAACCCUGAUCCAGCAAUGCCGCGUGUGUGAAGAAGGCCUGAGGGUUGUAAAGCACUUUUGGUAAGGAAGAUUGAUAUAAAGUUUAAUACAUUUUAUAUUGGACGUUACUUACAGAAUAAGCACCGGCAAACUCCGUGCCAGCAGCCGCGGUAAUACGGAGGGUGCGAGCGUUAAUCGGAAUUAUUGGGCGUAAAGGGUGCGUANGUGGUAUAACAAGUUAUUUGUGAAAGACCUAAGCUUAACUUAGGAAGUGCAGAUAAAACUGUUAAACUAGAGUAUGGGAUAGGGUAGUGGAAUUUCCGGUGUAGCAGUGAAAUGCGUAGAUAUCGGAAGGAACAUCAGUGGCGAAGGCGACUACCUGGCCUAAAACUGACACUGGGGCACGAAAGCAUGGGGAGCAAACAGGAUUAGAUACCCUGGUAGUCCAUGCUGUAAACGUUGUCAACUAGCUGUUGGUCAUGAUUGAAUGAUAAGUAGCGAAGCUAACGCGUUAAGUUGACCGCCUGGGGAGUACGAUCGCAAGAUUAAAACUCAAAGGAAUUGACGGGGGCCCGCACAAGCGGUGGAGCAUGUGGUUUAAUUCGAUGCAACGCGAGGAACCUUACCUACCCUUGACAUACAGCGAAUUUAACAGAGAUGUUAAAGUGCCGGGAGGAACGCUGAUACAGGUGCUGCAUGGCUGUCGUCAGCUCGUGUUGUGAGAUAUUGGGUUAAGUCCCGUAACGAGCGUAACCCUUGUUCUUAGUUGCCAACGAUUAAAGUCGGGAACUCUAAGAAGACUGCCGAUGAAAAGUCGGAGGAAGGGGGGGAUGAGGUCAAGUCAUCAUGGCCCUUAUGGGUAGGGCUACACACGUGCUACAAUGG
rnacentral:rRNA from 1 species